rnacentral:rRNA from 1 species
GACGAACGCUGGCGGCGUGCCUAAUACAUGCAAGUAGAACGCAGUUGCGAACGGGUGAGUAACGCGUAGGUAACUGCCUCAUAGCGGGGGAUAACUAUUGGAAACGAUAGCUAAUACCGCAUACUGUGAGAUGGACCUGCGUUGUAUUAGCUAGUUGGUGAGGUAAAGGCUCACCAAGGCGACGAUACAUAGCCGACCUGAGAGGGUGAUAGGACCCACUGGGACUGGAACACGGCCCAGACACAUACGGGAAGCGACAGUAAGGAAUAUGCGGCAAUAGGCGGAAGUCAGACCAAGCAACGCCGAGGGAAUGAAGAAAGGUUUCGGAUCGUAAAGCUCUAUUAUAAGAGAAACGGUAACUAACAAGAAAGGGACGGCUAACAACGUGCCAGCAGCCGCGAUAAUUC